GUCCAGGCUGCUCAGCUGUCUCAAAAAUCCGUCAAGGAGAAUCAGAACGGAAAGAACAAAUUUGAGCCCGACAGAACGCAGUAAAUUCAAGGCACACUUCAACAUGAAGUCUUGCGGCUCGGACUUCCUCUGGCGCAAACGCGUCGCAAGCGAGCACCGCAGCCCCACGACAACAUUCUCGUGAAGGGGGAAGGGGCAUCUGCAUGCUACGACAGCAGGCGGAGGGGGCUUCAGAGCUGAAGCCCCACUAAGCAAUGCCCCAUACUUCUUCGGCAGCCGUUUUCUGGGAUUGAGACCACAGCUCAGCUCUCCGGCGUAGAAAUCAACCGGCAGCCAGCCAGCCAGCAUGUCACAGCCGUCCAGCAGAAAAUGGGCGCCUUGGAGCAACUGGUGGGAAUGGGCAAUGUCCGUGGCCGUGUGUGUGGGCCUCCUGUGGCCUCCAGGGAGCGCGUCAGUGGCGUCCUGCAUCUGCGCCUCCAACAUCCUGAGCUGCUCCAAGAUGAACCUGAGCAGCAUCCCGACCAGGCUCCCGCUCUACACGGCCGUUCUAGAUCUGAGCUACAAUGAAAUCAUGAGGCUGAGGUCAGACUGGACCUCUGUCAAGCUCCCCAAGCUCCGUAACCUGCUACUGAGCCACAACGGACUACUCUUCCUGUCUUCAGAGGCCUUUGUGAACGUGAAGCAUCUGCGCUACCUAGACCUGUCCUCCAACAGCCUGCAGCAACUGGACGAGUUUGUCUUUGAGCCUCUGGUCAACUUGGAGAUUCUCCUGUUGUACAACAACAAAAUCUCCCAGCUCGACCACUCGACCUUCAUCACCACGCUCAACCUCCAGAAGUUGUAUAUGAGCCACAACCAAAUCUCCCGAUUCCCCGUUGAGCUCAUCAGGGAGAAGUCUCGUCUGGAGAAGCUCAGCCUGCUGGACGUGUCGUCCAAUAAGAUUAAAAAACUUCCUCUGGACGAGAUGCGAGCGCUGCCUGCCUGGUUAAAGAAUGGCCUCUAUUUCCACAACAACCCGCUGCCAUGUCACUGUGACCUCUACACGCUGGUCGCCCACUGGGACCUCCGCAAACUCAACUCCGUCAUGGACUUCAGAGACAACUUCACUUGCAUCCUGCCGGGCCCCCAGAAGACUCGGGUGGACGUGUUUGACCUGAGCGGUGACAGCAUGAACUGUAGUACCUUCAAGGAGGCAGAAGAGGAAGCCUUUCUGGAGCAAACGCUGAUCCUGGGCUGCGACACCAAGCACAGAAACAUGCUAAAGACCUGGACUCUUCCCGGUCCUGCUGCGGUGAUUCCGGGAGGCAACCAGACAGCAAAAAUCAUGCCGGAUGGCAGCCUGCGAGUCAGUCCGGUCCGGUCUGAGGACUCUGGAACCUACACCUGCUUUGCCACUAGCGAGGCCUUCAACGAGACCAUCUAUGUUGUGCUGAAGGUUCACAACUUCACCAUGCAUGACGGUGGCGAGACCCUGAACACAGCCUACACCACCUUGGUGGGCUGCCUGGCCAGCGUGAUCCUGGUUCUGGUAUACCUCUACCUGACCCCGUGCCGCUGCUUCUGCUGCUCUGGCAAGGGUAAAGCUCGCGGUGACGACAGUAUCCGCUCAUCUGUGCUCAGCGUGACGCCCACCCAUGGGGGGGACCCCUCAGUGCUCAACAGACACGUGGUCUUCACAGACACCAAGGAGGUGCGAGGCCAGAACGGCAAGCUGAACCCCAACGGGGACCAGGACAAUGAGGAGGUGGACGCGGAAGCCUGCUCGCUGAUGAAAGGAACCAGGAAGAAGUCAGUCGCGGAAUCCAUCAGCUCGGUCUUCUCGGACACUCCCAUGAUGGUCUGAGAGGAGAAUGGAGAUGAGGUGGACGAGGAUGAGGGGUAUUCCUGGCAGAUGAUGAGGAGGAACCACACGCAGGACUGUUUUUUCCAGCAUUCUAAUGUGUAGCACUUGACAUACUGUGAAGGAACAAGGAGUGGACGUCUCAGGAUGUGAUUGAAGCAACUGGAGUCUUUUGGGUUGUUGAAAAAACAACCACAAGUUGAACGGAGGAAACUGGACUAAAGUUGAGUCACUACCAUUCAACUUUUGUCCAGUCGCCACCAUUCAACUUUUGUGGAUGACCAUGACCUGGAUGACUUAGGAUCUACACAGACACUCAGAGAUCUCAAAGAACACCGGCAGCAUGUUCGGCGAGUCUUGCAGAGACUUCUUGAGAACCGUCUGUACGCCAAAGCAGAGAAGUGUGAAUUUCAUGCCCGUUCCGUUCAAUUUCUGGGGUUCAUCGUGGAGGCGGGCCAGCUAAGACCCGAUCAGCCAAGAUACAGGCUGUGGUCGACUGGCCAUCUCCGACAUCAAGGAAGCACUUGCAAAGGUUCCUCGGAUUCGCCAAUUUCUAUAGGAGUUACAUCCGGAAUUACAGUUGUAAGGCGGAACCUUUGACAAGGCUUACAUCAGUAAAGAAACCUUUUAUUUGGACCCCUGAAGCUGAAUCGGCUUUUGUUGUUCUUAAGCUUCUGUUUACCUGUUCGCACUCAUCCUGAUCCAAAACUUCCAUUUAUCGUAGAGGGGGAUGCCUCGGAUUCUGGAGUAGGGGUCGUACUAUCCCAACGAUCUCCUGUCGACCAGAGAGCGCACCCCUGCGCCUUCUCGCGUCGCCUCAGUCCUGCUGAACAUAACUAUGAUGUUGGUAACAGGGAACUGCCCGCCAUUGUUCUGGCUCUACAGGAGUGGAGGCACUGGCUGGAGGGCGCAGUGGCACCGUUUGAGUCCCUGGGUGCAGGUCGGUGGGCGGAGUCUCUCGCGAUGCAACUGCUGGUGAUUUGUCAUCAGCAGUGUAUUUAAGCAUGGGAGACGCAGGAGGAAAACGCCGAGAAAUUGUACUUCGCUUGUUGCCAUUACCUUGCCAGCUUUGUUGCAUUCCCACGUUCAUUCCGUCCUGCCGGUAGCUCUUUUCGUCUGCUGUUUUCUCCAUGCCGCAUCAAGGCCACCGAGGCACCUUCAGUCUGAAGAACAUCGUUCAUACGUCCUCACCAUGACAACCGUGACAAAAACAAUGAAGACAAAGGUCCCAAUCUUGCUCUAAGAGGGAAAAGACAACGCAAUAAAUGUCAGGAGGACACACAGGCAAUUCCACUUGAUAACAGGCGACAUUUCACAAAACAAAACAUUCUGCCUUCGUAAUAACAUCCAUCCAUCUUCUAAAAUGCUUGUCCUCAUUUCGCCCCGGACUGGUCGUAAGUCUAUAUCAGGGCAUAUACUGACAAACAAUGCACAUGGCAUGGUUGAGAGACAAUGCUCCUUGAGAAUGCUGGAGAAAAAAACAGUUUGUGUUUUUGUUUUUUAUAGAGCAGGGCAGCUUUAAUCAACACUUCCAAACUCGUCACACUGAUUGGACUCUAGGAUGGCUGACUACUGACGCCGAUUCGCUCAUGGAAGUCUUUAGCCUUUGGGUUGACAUACUUUUUCCACCCUGCACUUUGAAUGUUUACAUGGUGUGUCCAAUAAAAAACAUGACAACAGAAAACUGUUUGCAUGGUAUUAGUUUAAGCAGAAUGUAUUUGUCU